UACGAAGGGGGCUAGCGUUGCUCGGAAUCACUGGGCGUAAAGCGCACGUAGGCGGAUUGCUAAGUCAGGGGUGAAAUCCUGGAGCUCAACUCCAGAACUGCCUUUGAUACUGGCGAUCUUGAGUCCGGGAGAGGUGAGUGGAACUGCGAGUGUAGAGGUGAAAUUCGUAGAUAUUCGGUGGAACACCAGUGGCGAAGGCGACUCGCUGGACUGAUACUGACGCUGAGGUGCGAAAGCGUGGGGAGCAAACAGG
rnacentral:rRNA from 1 species